rnacentral:lncRNA from 1 species
AACACUGAGACCUGAGCCAUAUAAUCAACCAAUACCUCAUUGUGAUGUACCGGGAAUCCAUCUUUCAGAUUAGCUCUGCUCGCAUCUUGAUAGUCUAUUCACACCUUCUCUCUUUCUCAUCCUUUGUCGGCCUCAGCUUUUGCACAGUCUCCUCCUGAUGGUAGUUUAUGCCCCAAAACAUUGGUAUCCCACCUUGGUGUAUCUAGAUACAACCAGGCACAUGUAUCAACCUUCUCUUUCAAAAGGGCUACCAUUCUGCUCUUGACUUGCCUCUGAAACGACCUCAGCUUUUCGCUUUCUAACCUCGGCGGAGCUUGGAGUAACAAUCUUGAAUCGCUCCUCGUGUGGUUG